UCGCCCCUAGCAGGGACCCACCACAGCGCACACGCAAGAGCCGAGGCCGCAGGGCCGGGUGGACAGCGAGCUCUACGGAAACCCGCGCAGUGGGUCAGCCGCCAGCGGCCGCCAGGUCUGAGCGGUUCGGAUCUCGAGCGGUCCCUGUGGCAGCCUCGCCAGGUCACGGCUUCCCGCUCUGGAGAGUUUGUGGUCCCUGUCCUGGGAGGGCUCCGCAGCCGCCAGGGAGGGACUAGACGGACCGCGGCUCCCGGACCGCCGCUUCCGCCCCUGCGCCGCCCUCCCAGCCCAGGCUCUGUGGGGUGGGAUUUCUCCCUUGUGUCAUAGUGGAGGAAACUGAGGCAUAGGGCCAUUGAAUGACAAACUCAGGGAGAUUCUCUGACUGAAAUGCCCUCUAGGUCCCGCAGGUCCCUCCAGGACACAGCAUCCCUUGGGCUGCUGCAUCAGUGGGCUGUUGUCUUGGGCACCCCAAGCUCAACACCAUGUGGGGAUGACGCUGGGGAAUGUGGGGACAGGGAUAUUUGUCCCC
rnacentral:lncRNA from 1 species